AAAAAGUAAAUUUACAAAAUAAAGAGGGUAUGUAAACAGAAAAAUUUCAAUGUUAAUUCAAUACAUCCGUUAUGAUUAAAUAUUGACAUUGCGACUACCGACGAAUUACAAUACACAACAACACCAAAAAUCGUUAUCAAACGAAUUGAUUCGGUCUCGAAUCAAUAACAAAUCCGAAACUACUAACACGACGACAACUCGAUUCAUACACGGAAAAUUUGGGAAUUCAAUACACACGUGAGAGUGCACAGACGUCGAUACACCAUCUUUGGGCCCAAAAGUGUAAAAUCUUGUUUGUUGGGCCUAGCUAGCCCAAUGACCUGAUCUUUAGGCCCGAAGACAUCAACCUUACGAGUUGUUGGGUCUUACAUGAUCCAACACAGCGUAAAAGGACUUUCAAUGGCAACGUGCUGCUGGUCCCCAAGGGUCCUUCGGUACUGCUAGCAAAGUCGAGAAUUCACCAAUGCGAGUUGGGCUAAGGGCCCUUCGCAUUCACUAUAGCCUUGAACGACGUAGGGAAUUACCUGGGGCUUCGCACUCACUUUUUCCCCUCGGUCGUGGGGCUACAUGAGUCCGGGUGGUUGGGUUAAGUGAAUAGUGCGAGCGACGCCUAAGGGAAUCGUUUGUACGGUUGUCAACUGGUCAUUUUCAUUAAUGUACGUUUACAACAAUUCACAAUCCACAAUUAAUCCAACGUCCCCGGAGCUCAACGAAUACACCUGUCGUAACGAAAUAACGAAACAUAAAAUUAUUUAAUGCAAAGUAAUGGGAAAACGUCGGGUUUUCCUAGGAUUUUCAAUUAUUACACCUACGAAUUACAUACCGAGUUUUACAAAUCGUACUCUUACAUUUAUAGAAACAAACAAGCAUACUUUCGGAUCUUCACACCUUUUAUACUAUACAAUUUUCAGAAAAUAUCGGAUUUUCUGGUGGUUUUCAAAACGAUACAAAACAUUGGAUUUCAAACAUUACUUAUGAACUCACCAACAUUUCAUAUGUUGACGUUUUUCAAAAUACUUGUAUUCUCAGGUAACAGAUAAAGUGAAGGAAGAAUUGUACUCUAUGACGUUUUGCUGUUGUUUAAUUAAUAUCGAACAAUUUACUUUUGGGAAUGUAAUAUUUUGAAACUAUGUACUGAAUGUAAACGCUACCAGUUGUAAUAUUCCAAUGCUUGGUAUUGUAUGAUGUUAUGUUUCAUGUAUAUUCAUUGUGAUGGUAUUCAAUUGAGUCACGACAGCCCCCGGACGUUUCCGCCGUCUGGUUCGGGGGUGUGACAGGUUGGUAUCAGAGCUCUGUUUAUAGUGAACUAGCAUAUCGAACCAUACAUUGAUAUGCAACUAUAAACCAAAAGAGGGACUAACAUAACUCUGAACAAAACAAGUAAAAUACAACAAUAAAACACCUUUGCCUGCAUUAGGAACAAGGAACAUAACACCGAACCAAACAAGAUAAUGCUAGUAUCUCGGUUAAAUCAGGACUGUUCUUAGGGGUACCAAGGAGUGGAUGUAGCCUGAUCAACUACGUUCUCUCCAAGGUAUGACUAACACACGUUCUGAUGAGAUCGUGAUAGCUAGGGAACCUAAAACUAUACCCCUUAUCACCAAAAAGAGAGCGUCUAGUUAGCAUAAGUCAUAGUCAGAAGAGUGACGAUUGUUUAUAUUUUUCCCCAGUCGUCAUGGAGGAAGAGCAGCAGGGUAUCCAGUUCCAUCAAGUCCUAGUGGCUCACGGGAUGCUUGAGGAUGAACCAGAAGGGAAUCCGGAGGGAGCACACGACGUCGAACAUGACGAAUACAUAGACACUGACUACGAGUUUGGAGAUACCGACGAUGAUGUCGAGGAAGGGCAAGACCGGGACAAGGAUCACGUCACGUCAUGUGUGGAUGAGGCGCAACCAGACCACCCCGCUGCACCAAUGAACCCCCCAAGGGAGAACCGAUCUCCCGAAGCUGAGAUCGCCGCACUGCGACAACAGUUGUACGCCAUGGAGGCCCGGGCAGUGCGAGCCGAGCAUGAUAGGGAUGAAGUCAUCGGAGACAUGGCAGAGAUGGCUCAGUUGCUGGCACAACACUUCGGCAUAUGACCUCGGCACCACCUCCGGGCGCAUCUCAUCGCGACUAGGGUUAGGCUUAUCUUAGUAGAUCAUUAGGAACUACGCUGUGUACAUCGACUCUAUGUUUAAGUGACUACACUACUCAUAGAGCCAUUAUGCUGUCAAACUAGUGUCACCCAUGUAUGCUCUUACGAGCAAAUUUUCAUGUACCAAAUGCGGAUAAUAUUAGUAAACCUUUAUGUGCUUUGCUAUGAUAUUACGAAUUGCUAUGUGUUGAGAAUCUAUGAAUGUAUGCUAAAUGGUAAGAGUGUUUAAGUUCGUAUCAUGCACUUAGUUAGUAGGGUCGUAACCUUCCAGAAACCCCCAAGCACUCAAUGUCUUUCCGUUGCAUGACAGAAAGAUGCCUCGCCGAGCUACUCGCAGAAACCCCGAACCAAUCCCACCCGAAGUUGACUCCACUGCAUUCCAGGCGGCCGUGUCUGCUGCGGUCACCGCAGCUAUGGCACAACUUCACCGAGGGAACAACGGAGGAGGCAACGGGCAAGGGUCCGGGAGUUCGAACAACGGGAUGAAUCAAGGACCCACUAAAACAUGUACCUACAAGGACUUCACAAACGCCAAGCCACGAACUUUUAACGACACUAGAGGAGUGAUCACUCUGAAGCGAUGGAUCGAGAAGGUGGAAUCGGUAUUUGAGAUAUGCGAUUGUCCUGAGGAGAUGAAAGUGAAGUUCGCAGCUUGCACUUUUGUUGAUCAAGCGCUCACUUGGUGGAACGGACACGUGGAAGGCAUGACACUCCCGGUAGCCAACUCCAUUCCGUGGUCGGAGAUGAAGGAAAUGUUGAUGGCUGAAUACUGUCCGCACGACGAGAUACAGAAAAUGGAGCAGGAACUGUGGAACCUCACUGUGCAGAAUGCGAAUAUCGAUGCCUACAUAUCGAGAUUUAGCGAACGAUCCCUGUUGUGCCCAGGUACGAUCACCUCGGAAGGAAAGAAGAUUGAGCGAUUCAUUUGGGGACUAACAUCACCAAUCCAAGGAAACGUGAUAGCUGCAAACCCGGAAACAUUCGACAGUGCGAAGAGAUUGGCGAAGAAGUUGUACGACCAUAACAACAAAAAGGGUGAGAAUCCAACGGAGAUUGAGGGCAAGAAGGAAGGUGAUGGCAAGAAAGGGAAGAACAACAAGAAGAAGGGACGUCAGGGCUUCGAGACCUCUAAAAAGCAGUAGACAGUGGCGGUUAAUGCUGCCACUGCACCGGUUCCAGCCACACCACAUGCUCCAGCCUCAGCUGCUUCAAAUGUUUCCAGACCUUAUUCCGGUAAUUUUCCCAAAUGCAACAAGUGCGGUUUCCAUCACAAUGGAGAAUGCAGGGAGUUACAGUGCACCAGUUGUAAUCGAAAAGGACACACGUCGAAGUACUGCAGGACUUACCCUCCCCAGAACCAACAACAAGGNACAAUGCAGGGCCUAGCCACACCUGCUAUGGGUGUGGGAGGACUGGGCAUUUCCGCCGAGACUGCCCUAACAACAACAAUCCAGGAAACGGAGGAACAGGAAGGAUGCUGACCAUGGGUCAGGGAGAGGCGAUUCAGGACCCCGCUGUUGUUACCGGUACGUUUCCCCUAAACCACACUUAUGCAUGCAUCCUAUUUGACUCCGGAGCGGAGCGAAGUUUCGUAAGCAAUAAGUUUAAACAUUUAUUAAAACAACAGCCCUAGAAGCUAAAUGAAACCUUUACGGUGGAAAUGGCCAAUGGGAAAACCGAAUCUACCAGGGAAAUGUACAUCGGAUGUACCCUAACCCUAAAUCAACACGUCUUUCGGAUAGACUUGAUGUCCGUAUCAAUUAGGAGUUUCGAUGUGAUUAUUGGCAUGGACUGGUUAAGCCCCCACCAUGCUGAAAUUAUGUGUCACGAGAAGGUCGUUCGCCUUCGCCUCCCCAAUCAUGAAACCCUAGUAAUUUACGGAGACAAACCUAGCAUGAACCUCCGCCUCGUCUCGUGCAUCAAGGCACAAAAACAUCUAUGAAAUAACAAUUUGGCGUUCCUGGCUCACAUAGUGAAUAAAACCAAGGAAGACGUUAACGUUCAAGACAUUCCCAUAGCAUGUGGAUUUCCAGAUGUGUUUCCUGAGGAUCUUCCAGGAGUACCCCCGGAGAGACAAGUGGAGUUUCAAAUUGACCUCGUUCCAGGAGCAACUCCUCUCGGUAAAUCACCCUAUCGGCUAGCUCCUGCAGAAAUGCAGGAAUUGUCCAGCCAACUCAGUGAACUCUUGGACAAGGGAUUCAUCCGCCCUAGUUACUCGCCAUGGGGAGCUCCAGUCCUCUUUGUCAAAAAGAAGGACGGAUCUUUUAGAAUGUGCAUCGAUUACAGAGAGUUAAAUAAACUCACUGUUAAAAAUCGCUACCCACUCCCACGAAUCGAUGAUCUAUUUGACCAGCUCCAAGGAGCUAGUUAUUUUUCUAAGAUAGAUCUACGAUCCGGAUAUCACCAACUCAAAGUCCGGGAAGAGGAUAUUCCAUAAACCGCUUUCCGAACUCGCUAUGGACACUACGAAUUUGUCGUAAUGCCCUUCGGUCUGACAAAUGCCCCUGCCACAUUUAUGGACCUAAUGAAUCGAAUCUGUCGACCAUUCUUCGACAACUUUGUCAUUGUUUUUUUAUCGAUGAAAUCCUCGUCUAUUCUCGAAGCAAAGAAGAGCAUGGCCAACAUCUCCGACAAGUCCUAGAAACUCUAGAUCGGAAAUGCUAUACGCAAAACUCUCCAAGUGUGAGUUCUGGCUCUGGAGUGUGAACUUCCUAGGUCAUGUAGUCAGCCAAGAUGGAAUCCAUGUGGAUCCCUCUAAAGUCAAAGUUGUUGAAGGAUGGGCAAUCCCGACAACACCUACGGAAAUCCGUCAGUUCUUGGGUCUAGCAGGCUACUAUAGGAGAUUCAUUCAAAACUUCUCUAAGAUCGCCAAGCCACUUACCUCGCUUACACAAAAGGGCGUACCAUUCAAAUGGACGGACAAACAAGAAGUCGCAUUCCGAACCCUGAAACAAGCUCUCUGUAGUGCCCCGGUACUAUCACUACCGGAGGGAACGGAAGAUUUCGUGGUCUACUGUGACGCGUCAAAUCAGGGCUUAGGUUGCGUUCUCAUGCAGCGUGGAAGGGUGAUAGCUUACGCAUCUCGCCAACUAAAGACGCACGAAGUAAAUUAUACGACCCAUGACCUGGAAUUGGGAGCCGUGGUCUUCGCUCUGAAAAUUUGGAGGCACUACCUGUACGGUACGAAGUGCACCAUCUUCACGGACCACAAAAGUCUCCAGCACAUCUUGAACCAGAAAGAGUUGAACAUGAGGCAACGAAGAUGGGUUGAAUUAUUAAACGAUUACGAGUGUGAGAUCAAGUACCACCCAGGCAAGGCCAACGUGGUAGCCGACGCAUUAAGUCGGAAGGAGUACUCAAAUCGUCGUACGAAAACUCUCUCUAUAACCAUUCAAUCUCACCUAGUCACUCAAAUUGCGGUAGCCCAGUCGGAGGCCAUGAAAGCGGAAAACAGGGCAAGCGAAGCAUUGCGCGGGAUGGAGAAGAACCUAGAGGCAAAGGAGAAUGGAGUAUACUACUUCAUGAACCGUAUUUGGGUCCCUAAAAUCGGAGGAUUUAGGGAGGUAGUUAUGAAGGAAGCCCACAGGACGCGAUACUCCAUUCAUCCUGGUUCAGACAAGAUGUAUUUGGAUAUUAAACAACACUAUUGGUGGCCUAACAUGAAGGCGGAAAUUGCUACCUACGUUAGUAAGUGCCUUACGUGUGCCAAGGUAAAGGUGGAAUACCAGAAGCCCUCAGGGUUAUUACAGCAACCGGUAAUUCCUGAGUGGAAAUGGGAGGGGAUUUCUAUGGAUUUCGUGACCAAGCUACCCAAAACGUCGGAUGGACUAGACACCAUAUGGGUAAUAAUCGAUCGACUGACGAAAUCUGCCCAUUUCCUGCCAAUCAAAGAAUCUUACAAGAUGGAGAGAUUGACGCGUUUAUACGUUCGAGAAAUCGUGAGACUCCACAGAGUGCCAAUAUCUAUCAUCUCAGAUAGGGACAGUAGGUUCACUUCACGUUUUUGGCAAUCACUCCAUAAGGCAAUGGGAACUCAUCUCGACAUGAGCACCGCUUAUCAUCCGCAAACGGAUACGCUCGAAGACAUGCUCCGUGCGUGCGUGAUAGACUUUGGGAAGUCUUGGGAUACCCACCUACCUUUAAUCGAAUUCUCGUAUAACAAUAGUUAUCAUUCGAGCAUCAAGGUGGCUCCUUUCGAAGCACUGUACGGGCGUAAAUGUAGAUCACCGUUAUGUUGGGCUGAGGUUGGCGAUACCCAACUAGCAAAAACACAUACGUCGGACAAAGCGCUAACGGGACCGGAGAUCAUUCGCGAAACCACGGAAAAGAUCGUCCAAAUCAGGGCUCGAUUACAAGCAUCGCGUGACCGACAAAAGAGCUACGCCGAUAAACGGCGAAAGCCCUUAGAGUUUCAGGUCGGUGAUCGAGUACUGUUGAAAGUCUCACCCUGGAAAGGGGUUAUACGUUUCGGAAAACGGGGAAAACUGAACCCACGAUACAUUGGACCUUUCGAGAUCGUCGCCCGAAUAGGUCCAGUGGCGUAUAAGCUGCAGCUACCCACAGAGCUAAACAGUGUUCACCCCGUGUUCCAUGUCUCUAAUCUAAAGAAGUGUCUAUCAGAUGAAACACUCGUCAUUCCCCUUGACGAGAUCGAAAUCAACGAGAAUCUCCUGUUCGUUGAAGAACCAAUCGAAAUCAUGGACAGGGAGGUGAAGCGUACUAAGCAAAGUCGCAUCCCGAUCGUGAAAGUACGGUGGAACGCAAAGCGUGGGCCAGAAUUCACGUGGGAACGCGAAGACCAAAUGAAGCAAAAGUACCCUCACCUAUUCUAGCAUUCUCAAAUCUAGCUUUCAAACAGAAUUUCGGGACGAAAUUCCCUCUAACGGGGGGAUGAUGUCACAACUAGAAAUUUUGUGUCUUGUAAUCACUAUACUCAAGUAAAAUGUUGAAUCAAAAACUUAAGAGCAUGUAUGAUGCUUACUUUAUGACAUCAAAAAUUGCAAUCUAAUACACCAUACAAGCACUACAAAUAGUCAACAAGCAAUUGGAAACCCUAGAAGUUCUUGUUUAGGUCCAUUUUGGACUAGGACUUCCUUAUUGGACUCAAUGGACCAAUAAGCUUCCAAUUUGACUAUCAUGGGUUUAGAACCUUUUAAUGGGCUCUAAUUGAACCUACUUUCAUUUAUUCCAACAAUUUGGGCCACAUUAGGCCUAGAAUGGAAUAAAUCAACUUCAUGAAACAUUAUGGGCCAUAAUUAACUUAAACUAGCCCAACAAAGUAAAAAAAAAAUCACACUUAUAUCUUAUAAUCAUCCAAACUAACUCUAAUAUUGGGCUUAGGGGCAUUAAAGCCCAAAACUUUCCUUUCCUUUUAAAAUUUCGGCCCAAAAGCCCAAGACCAAAGAUGAAGAGUUGACUUCAUCAUGCCACCUCAUUAUUACCUCUUGGUUCUCCAUGCAACAUGUCUCAUACUUCCAUGCAUACAUCACCUCAAGGUCUCUUCUUCUUCCUCUCUCUCAUUCUCAGCCGAACACACACACAUACACUCACAAAAUUCAUUUCAUCCUCCCUAAGUUGUGAAGAACAUCUCCUCCUUCCCUCUCCUAAAAUUUUCGAGGUUUAAGUGCAUUCCAAGGAGAUUUUUCACAAAAAUCACCAUCCAAGGUAAGGUUAUACUAAAUUCUAUGAUCUAGGUUCCUUGAUCUAUCUAAAAUCUCUUCUUAACUCUCAUGAAAUCAUAAACUUGUGUCUUAGAACCCCUCAAACUCGAGAUCUUCAAGAAAAGGGUGCUAAGGCCAAAAAUCACUUCAUUUCUUCCAUCUUUUCUCCAAAAACCGAAACCACACCCUAAGGUGAGCUUCAUACUCCCUAUUUUUCUGUUUUAUAAGUUUUGUGGGGGGGGGGAAUACAAGUGAAAGUGUAGAUCUAUAUGUAUUUGUAUGCCUUGUAUGAUUUCUAUGCUUAUAUGUGUGUUUUUGUGUGAUUAUGAUGUUGGAUCUAGUCAUAAGCCCCUAAAAAUCGAGAUAUACUUUAUGUUAAAUGAUACUAGCAUCAAUUAUAUUUCUACAUACAAAGUAUUCCAAGAAAAAUAGCUAAGUGGCUUAAUAACAUCUUCUUUGGGCUAAAAACUCAUUUUUGGACACAAAAUGUUAAAAAUAUAAAGUUAAAGGGCCCAAAAUGACAUAUUACGAAUUCUGAUGGGUGAGAUGAGUCAAAACAGUUUCAAUAAAGUAUUUUCUGGAAAUAUACUCUUUUGGAGGAUUAAUAAUAUAAAUGUCAAGCUUAAUGGGCUAAAAAUGACAUUUUCGGCCCAAUAGGGCCCAAUAUGUGAAAUUUUCCAAUUUGAGGGGUUGAAACUGUGUUUUUCUGUAAAACAGUGGGCUACUAGUGUUCCAAGUCCUUUUCAAAGGUUAAAAAUGCUUUUCAUAAUUAAAAAGGACCAAAGUUGCAAAAAUUUUCCAAUUUGGGCCAAAAGUGUAAAAAUUGCAAAAAAGAGAGGUUACAGCCGAGAAAACUGUAUUUUUUGAGGGACUAAAGCUGUUUUCAACUAAAAAUGUGCUGAAAAAUAUUAAUUUCAAUAAGUUUUGGUGUUAGAAUGCCAAGAAAAAUGGUUUAAGGACUAAACCGUAAAUUAAUUUAUGCAAAGGCUUGAAAAAGUAAAUUUACAAAAUAAAGAGGGGCUGUAAACAGAAAAAUUUCAAUGUUAAUUCAAUACAUCCGUUAUGAUCAAAUAUUGACACUGCGAUUACCGACGAAUUACAAUACACAACGACACCAACAAUCGUUAUCAAACGAAUUGAUUCGGUCUCGAAUCAAUAACAAAUCCGAAACUACUAACACUACGACACUCAAUACACACAUGGAACUCUCGGAAACUCUAUACACU
rnacentral:lncRNA from 1 species